GGGGAAUCUUCCGCAAUGGGCGAAAGCCUGACGGAGCAACGCCGCGUGAGUGAAGAAGGUCUUCGGAUCGUAAAGCUCUGUUGUCGGGGACGAAUGUUGAGAUCUAGAAUAUAGAUUUCAAAUGACGGUACCUGACGAGGAAGCCACGGCUAACUACGUGCCAGCAGCCGCGGUAAUACGUAGGUGGCGAGCGUUGUCCGGAAUUAUUGGGCGUAAAGGGAGCGCAGGCGGGAAGGUAAGUCUAUCUUAAAAGUGCGGGGCUCAACCCCGUGAGGGGAUAGAAACUAUCAUUCUUGAGUGCAGGAGAGGAAAGCGGAAUUCCUAGUGUAGCGGUGAAAUGCGUAGAUAUUAGGAGGAACACCAGUGGCGAAGGCGGCUUUCUGGACUGUAACUGACGCUGAGGCUCGAAAGCCAGGGGAGCGAAC
rnacentral:rRNA from 1 species